rnacentral:ribozyme from 13 species
UCUUUCUUCUCCAAUUUCUUUCAUUCCUCUCUCUCCAUUUCUCGAUCUCUCCCUUCAUCUUCUCUCUCAUACCAAAAGAAAAAAAAAUCGAACUCUGGAGAACCAAGAUCAAGAAAAGAACCAAAAAUGAGCGGUGGAGUUUCAAUUAUUGUGAAAAUUCUGAAUCUUAACGAUAAU